rnacentral:rRNA from 1 species
AUUGAAACGGCUGGCGGCAUGCCUUACACAUGCAAGUCGAACGGCAGCACGGGAGCAAUCCUGGUGGCGAGUGGCGAACGGGUGAGUAAUAUAUCGGAACGUGCCCAGUCGUGGGGGAUAACGUAGCGAAAGCUACGCUAAUACCGCAUACGAUCUAUGGAUGAAAGCGGGGGAUCGCAAGACCUCGCGCGAUUGGAGCGGCCGAUAUCAGAUUAGGUAGUUGGUGAGGUAAAGGCUCACCAAGCCGACGAUCUGUAGCUGGUCUGAGAGGACGACCAGCCACACUGGGACUGAGACACGGCCCAGACUCCUACGGGAGGCAGCAGUGGGGAAUUUUGGACAAUGGGCGCAAGCCUGAUCCAGCAAUGCCGCGUGCAGGAUGAAGGCCUUCGGGUUGUAAACUGCUUUGUACGGAACGAAACGGUGAGCUCUAAUACAGUUUGCUAAUGACGGUACCGUAAGAAUAAGCACCGGCUAACUACGUG